rnacentral:sRNA from 1 species
AGAGUUUGAUCCUGGCUCAGUGCGGAUGGAUCACCUCCUUAGAGUUUGAUCAUGGCUCAGGAUGAACGCUGGCGGCGUGCCUAAUACAUGCAAGUCGAACGAGGCCCUUUGUAUUCGUACGAAGGUGUCCUAGUGGCGAACGGGUGAGUAACACGUAGGUGACCUGCCCCGAAGAGGGGGACAACCCCGGGAAACUGGGGCUAAUACCCCAUAACCUCCAGGGAGUUAGAGGGCCCUGGAGAAAAGGGAGCAAUCCGCUUCGGGAGGGGCCUGCGGCCCAUCAGCUUGUUGGUAGGGUAAUGGCCUACCAAGGCGACGACGGGUAGGGGACCUGAGAGGGUGACCCCCCACACUGGCACUGAAACACGGGCCAGACACCUACGGGUGGCAGCAGUAGGGAAUAUUGCCCAAUGGGCGAAAGCCUGAGGCAGCAACGCCGCGUGCGCGAUGAAGGCCUUCGGGUUGUAAAGCGCUUUUCUGGGGGAAGAGGAAGGACG